GACGAACGCUGGCGGCGUGCCUAAUACAUGCAAGUAGAACGCUGAAGGAGGAGCUUGCCCUUCUGGAUGAGUUGCGAACGGGUGAGUAACGCGUAGGUAACCUGCCUGGUAGCGGGGGAUAACUCUUGGAAACGAUAGCUAAUACCGCAUAACAGUAGAUGUUGCAUGACAUUUACUUAAAAGGUGCAAUUGUAUCAUUACCAGAUGGACCUUCGUUGCAUUAGUUAGUUGGUGGGGUAACGGCUCAACAAAGCGACGAAACAUAGUCGACCUGGGAGGGUGGACCGCCAAACUGGGAAUGGGACACGGCCCAGACUCCCUCGGGGAGGAGCAAUAGGGGAACUUCGGCAAAGGACGGAAGGCUGAACGAGGAACGCCGCGGGAGUGAAGAAGGUUUUCGGGUCGUAAAGCUCUGUUGUAAGGGAAGAAAGAGAGUGGGAGUGGAAAGUUCACACUGUGACGGUAUCUUACCAGAAAGGGACGGCUAACUACGUG
rnacentral:rRNA from 1 species